UACGGAGGGUGCGAGCGUUGUCCGGAAUCACUGGGCGUAAAGGGCGCGUAGGCGGCAUGCCAAGCGUGUGGUGAAAGCCCGGGGCUCAACCCCGGGUCGGCCGUGCGGACUGGCGUGCUCGAGCACUGUAGGGGCGGGUGGAAUUCCGGGUGGUAGCGGUGGAAUGCGUAGAGGAUCCGGAAGACACCGGUGGCGAAGGCGGCCC
rnacentral:rRNA from 1 species